GACCACGGGACCAUGCAUGUGCAAAG
rnacentral:piRNA from 1 species